rnacentral:lncRNA from 1 species
AUGAAGUCUCAUGCAAUCUUCACACUUCGUCUCAUCCCGAUGUUUCCGCCAUUGGUUGGGGUGUUCUUGUUUUAGUAUGAGAAUGCCAUGUGGCAUUAAUCAUGCUUUUUUAUUAGUAUUAGAUAAGCUAUAAGCUACUUUAAGAUAUAAGCAUAACCCAAAAAAUAAAAGCUAGGCCAAGCACCCCCUAAUUCAAGUAUAGCCUUGAUUGAACUGUUUUGCAUGAAAUUAACCACUCUUGGCAGAAUGUUAUACUAAAGGUUAUGCGUUUGUGACAUACAAUGUAUGUAUACAUUGGCAGAAGAAUGUACUGAGAUGAGGUUCUCGGCUCCAAGAAUUCUUGCUUUCAAAGCAAUAUUUUAAUUAGAUUUUCUAUAAUUCAAAUAAAUAUAAAAUCUAUUGACACAGGAUUGGUAUGUAAUAGGAGGGAAACUCUCAGGCAUGGUAUUUUAAACAUGAUAUACAACUUAAAGUAGCAUAACGUUGAAAAUAUUAACAAUGGUUACUUCAUUUAGAAGGGAUUAUGGCUCUGUUGAAAUGAAAAUAUGGUAUGGUAAGGAAAUUUGUUAUCUAGGGUUUGUUUUAGUCUGCAGAUAUGGCAAGUAAAAACGGUUUUUCAAAAUGUUGUUUUGUUCUUUAAUUCGGCGUAUGCAUGUUUCUUAUAUGUAUUCAAAGUCGGUUGUUUUGUGAGGAUGUGAGGAUGACGAUC